UACGUAGGUGGCAAGCGUUGUCCGGAUUUAUUGGGUUUAAAGGGUGCGUAGGCGGCCCUGUAAGUCAGUGCUGAAAUAUCCCGGCUUAACCGGGAGGGUGGCAUUGAUACUGCGGGGCUAGAGUACAGAUGAGGUAGGCGGAAUUGACGGUGUAGCGGUGAAAUGCUUAGAUAUCGUCAAGAACACCUAUAGCGAAGGCAGCUUACUAGGCUGUAAACUGACGCUGAGGCACGAAAAGUGUGGGGGAUCAAAACAG
rnacentral:rRNA from 1 species